CAACCUGAACUCAGUCGUGAUUACCCGCUGAACUUAAGCAUAUCAUUUAGCGGAGGAAAAGAAACUAAAAAGGAUUCCCCUAGUAACGGCGAGUGAAACGGGAAGAGCCCAGCGCCGAAUCGAUCAGUCUUUGGCUGCUUCGAAAUGUGGCGUAUAGGUGUAGUCUUCCAGCAGUGUCGUAUGUCCGAAGUCCUUGCGAUUGAGGCCAUAAACCAGAGAGGGUGCGAGCCCCGUUCUGGAUAGCGGCGCUGUUGGUUCGACUGCUCCUUGGAGUCGGGUUGCUUGAAAGUGCAGCCUAAAGUGGGUGAUAAACUUCAUCUAAGGCUAAAUAUUGACUCGAUUGCGAUAGCGAACAAGUACCGUGAGGGAAAGUUGCAAAGGACUUUGAAGAGAGAGUUCAAGAGAACGUGAAAUCGCUGGAGUGGAACCGGAGACAGUUGAUGUUGCUUGGAGACAAUCUUGGUGGCUGAUCGCUUAGCUGUGAUCGCCGCCGGGAGUCGUUUCCUAUGCUACGCCGACGGCGUUGGCCGCUCGUUCUGGCCCGACAGUGUUGCCCAUCUCGCAAGAGACGGUGUCUUGUUGUCGGUCGUUGGUUCGUGGUGGCUAGCGUUUAGUUACGCUAGUGUGUGUGACGUCGGUGUGAAAGUCGACGACGUUUCCGACCCGUCUUGAAACACGGAUUACGGAGUGUUUGUCUGCUGCGAGUCAAAGGGUGUAAAAACCUUGCG
rnacentral:ncRNA from 1 species